rnacentral:rRNA from 1 species
CCUACGGGAGGCAGCAGUGAGGAAUAUUGGUCAAUGGGCGCUAGCCUGAACCAGCCAAGUAGCGUGAAGGAUGACUGCCCUAUGGGUUGUAAACUUCUUUUAUAUGGGAAUAAAGUGCAGUAUGUAUACUGCUUUGCAUGUACCUUAUGAAUAAGGCUCGGCUAACUCGGUGCCAGCAGCCGCGGUAAUACGGAGGAUCCGAGCGUUAUCCGGAUUUAUUGGGUUUAAAGGGCGCGUAGGCGGGUUGUUAAGUCAGUUGUGAAAGUUUGCGGCUCAACCGUAAAAUUGCAGUUGAUACUGGCAUGCUUGAGUGCAGCAGAGGUAGGCGGAAUUCGGGGUGUAGCGGUGAAAUGCGUAGAUAUCACGAAGAACUCCGAUUGCGAAGGCAGCCUGCUGGACUGUAACUGACGCUGAUGCUCGAAAGUGUGGGUAGCAAACAGGAUUAGAUACCCUUGUAGUC